GAUGAACGCUGGCGGCGUGCCUAAUACAUGCAAGUCGAGCGAACGGACGAGAAGCUUGCUUCUCUGAUGUUAGCGGCGGACGGGUGAGUAACACGUGGAUAACCUACCUAUAAGACUGGGAUAACUUCGGGAAACCGGAGCUAAUACCGGAUAAUAUUUUGAACCGCAUGGUUCAAAAGUGAAAGACGGUCUUGCUGUCACUUAUAGAUGGAUCCGCGCUGCAUUAGCUAGUUGGUAAGGUAAUGGCUUACCAAGGCAACGAUGCAUAGCCGACCUGAGAGGGUGAACGGCCACACUGGAACUGAGACACGGUCCAGACUCCUACGGGAGGCAGCAGUAGGGAAUCUUCCGCAAUGGGCGAAAGCCUGACGGAGCAACGCCGCGUGAGUGAUGAGGGUCUUUGGAUCGUAAAACUCUGUUAUUAGGGAAGAACAUAUGUGUAAGUAACUGUGCACAUCUUGACGGUACCUAAUCAGAAAGCCACGGCUAACUACGUGCCAGCAGCCGCGGUAAUACGUAGGUGGCAAGCGUUAUCCGGAAUUAUUGGGCGUAAAGCGCGCGUAGGCGGUUUUUUAAGUCUGAUGUGAAAGCCCACGGCUCAACCGUGGAGGGUCAUUGGAAACUGGAAAACUUGAGUGCAGAAGAGGAAAGUGGAAUCCCAUGUGUAGCGGUGAAAUGCGCAGAGAUAUGGAGGGACACCAGUGGCGAAGGCGACUUUCUGGUCUGUAACUGACGCUGAUGUGCGAAAGCGUGGGGAUCAAACAGGAUUAGAUACCCUGGUAGUCCACGCCGUAAACGAUGAGUGCUAAGUGUUAGGGGGUUUCCGCCCCUUAGUGCUGCAGCUAACGCAUUAAGCACUCCGCCUGGGGAGUACGACCGCAAGGUUGAAACUCAAAGGAAUUGACGGGGACCCGCACAAGCGGUGGAGCAUGUGGUUUAAUUCGAAGCAACGCGAAGAACCUUACCAAAUCUUGACAUCCUUUGACAACUCUAGAGAUAGAGCCGUCCCCUUCGGGGGACAAAGUGACAGGUGGUGCAUGGUUGUCGUCAGCUCGUGUCGUGAGAUGUUGGGUUAAGUCCCGCAACGAGCGCAACCCUUAAGCUUAGUUGCCAUCAUUAAGUUGGGCACUCUAAGUUGACUGCCGGUGACAAACCGGAGGAAGGUGGGGAUGACGUCAAAUCAUCAUGCCCCUUAUGAUUUGGGCUACACACGUGCUACAAUGGACAAUACAAAGGGCAGCGAAACCGCGAGGUCAAGCAAAUCCCAUAAAGUUGUUCUCAGUUCGGAUUGUAGUCUGCAACUCGACUACAUGAAGCUGGAAUCGCUAGUAAUCGUAGAUCAGCAUGCUACGGUGAAUACGUUCCCGGGUCU
rnacentral:rRNA from 1 species